rnacentral:piRNA from 2 species
GUUAGGAUUCGGCGCUCUCACCG